GAGUGAUGAGGAAAUGCUCCCGUGACAACUGGGGUUCGUCACAUACAUCUGACCAUCAGAUGUUUACGAGCUAGUCUGAACUC
rnacentral:snoRNA from 1 species